AACGGCCAUACCAUGCUGAAUAUACCGGUUCUCGUUAGAUCACCGAAGUUAAGCAUCAUUGGGCGCGGUCAGUACUUGGGUGGGUGACCACCUGGGAACACUGCGUGCCGCU
rnacentral:rRNA from 1 species